CAAUAGCGUAUAUUAAAGUUGUUGCAGUUAAAAGCUCGUAGUUGAAUUUUAUGGCUUGUAUUGGUUGGUCAUUCGAUCGCCAAUGCAUGUCAUUUCGACAUUGAACCUAGAUUGAUAUUAAGUUAUCAUUUAGGCGAACUGUCAUUUUACUUUGAAAAAUUAGAGUGUUUCAGGCAGGCUUAGCCCGAAUAUCUUAGCAUGGAAUAAUGGAAUAGGACUUUGGUUCAUUUUAUUGGUUAUUGAAUCAGAGUAAUGAUUAAUAGGGACAGUUGGGGGCAUUAGUAUUUAAUUGUCAGAGGUGAAAUUCUUGGAUUUAUUAAAGACUAACUUAUGCGAAAGCAUUUGCCAAGGAUGUUUUCAUUAAUCAAGAACGAAAGUUAGGGGAUCAAAGAUGAUCAGAUA
rnacentral:rRNA from 1 species